AGUGGUAAAGCAGAGCUGCAGGUGUCUCUCUGUGUCUCUCCCUCUCUGCCUUCCCCUCCCCUCUCAAAUGUCUCUCUAUCCAAUAAUAAAUAAAUAAAAUAAAAUUAAAAUUAAAAAAGAAGAAAUAAAAGAUGCCCAUGUAAAGCUCUUGAUUUCUAAGAUAAUGGUUGAAGUUACUAUCCCAUUUGUUUCAUGAGGUCUUCAUCAUAAGGGUUGCAGUGAUACUGAAUUCCUGUUGAAAGGAGUUGGGGAGGAAAAGGUCCCAUACAUAACUAUAUGAAUUUUCUGUUGAUCCUUCAUUUCUGUCUUAACUUCUAGGAAAUAGCCAUGUGUUUUGCCUGAGUGCUAGUUGCAGUCCACCUGGUGCACCUGAGAAUACAGUCUGAGUGUCCCAGACCAGUGCCUGAGAACACAGCUGCUGACCCACCGAAAGUGUUUGACACUAAGCCUCUUGACACUCAUCGAACAACACUAUCAUCUCGAGAAAGUUUUCCUGCAGAAGGCAGACUGUGACUCAUCUGGGGGACAGCCUGGCCAGCUCAGCCAUGUUUGGGCAGAGAGGAAAUCAGGCCAUCAACAUCUUUCAACAAAAGAACCGAAAGUAUGUUAACUUCAUUCUCAAACAGAUUUUUGUCUGUGUGAAUGCCUAGGUUUAUUGAAUGCACACUAGUUAACUCAUUUAAUCUAAUAUUUCCCCCCUAAGCAAACUCACAGCAUGGUGUCAUGACCACAAAAGACCUUUGAUUCCAAAUAUCAUUGAAUUCUAAGGCAGGAAAAACUUUUUUUCAUUCCUAGGGCUCACUACUCCAGAUUAUCUUUUUUUUUUUUUUUUUCUGGGCUGGAGGGAAGGCAGAAAAUUAAUAGGAAUAAAAAAGCCUUUUUAGGUGCUGUGCUAGCCCUUUUCUUGACUUCUAGGUAACAUUGACCCUUCUCUAUUUCUCAUGACUGUUUUCUUCCAGUGAAAUAAUUUCUUCAGGAACCUCUUUGAAUGCAAAGUGU